rnacentral:lncRNA from 1 species
UGGACUGAAUCGUAGCACCAGCUCUCCUGUGUCUCCAGCUUGCAGACGGCAGAUUGCAGGACUUCUCGGCCUCCAUAACCGAACAGAAUAGGUGGAAACGGGCAGAAUUUGGAGCCAAAGCACGUGGUGGAAGCUGCCUCAGGACUUCUGUGACCUCAGGUCCUCAGCACUUAUAAAGUUACAGCGGGCCCCAAGUUCCUGUCGCACUUUCCAAUGCUGGAAUCAGCCAUUUCUCCCCGGAGAAAACUGCCUUUCUACUAGUGACAUCUACAUUCAUUCCUACGUCGAUCAUUCCUACGUCGACAUAUUGCAAACCAUAAGUUCACAGCGACACUUGCAACUCCGAUGAAUAACGCCGAGAUUACGCUCAUCUUCUCCUUUCCGUAUUUGUAACGUGCUCUAAUAUCGGUAAACCUGGCUCCCGUUACCCUCAAUAUCUUUGCUUAUUUGACCCAUCUGUCUCUUGUCCCUGCUGCUGUCCCCGACGUGGACGGGGAUGCCUCCUCACCCCGCAGGAGCUCCAACCUCCAAGGAGGAAGGAGGGAAAAAAGGAGGGAGAGGGAGGGAAUCUUCCCACCUUUCAGAGCAUCACAGUGUUGCCUUUUUAGAGUGUAUAAAGUCGAUGCAUGUGCGUGUUUG